rnacentral:misc_RNA from 1 species
UCGUAACAAGGUUUCCGUAGGUGAACCUGCGGAAGGAUCAUUACCGAGUGAGGGCCCUCUGGGUCCAACCUCCCACCCGUGUCUAUCGUACCUUGUUGCUUCGGCGGGCCCGCCGUUUCGACGGCCGCCGGGGAGGCCUUGCGCCCCCGGGCCCGCGCCCGCCGAAGACCCCAACAUGAACGCUGUUCUGAAAGUAUGCAGUCUGAGUUGAUUAUCGUAAUCAGUUAAAACUUUCAACAACGGAUCUCUUGGUUCCGGCAUCGAUGAAGAACGCAGCGAAAUGCGAUAAGUAAUGUGAAUUGCAGAAUUCAGUGAAUCAUCGAGUCUUUGAACGCACAUUGCGCCCCCUGGUAUUCCGGGGGGCAUGCCUGUCCGAGCGUCAUUGCUGCCCUCAAGCACGGCUUGUGUGUUGGGCCCCCGUCCCCCUCUCCCGGGGGACGGGCCCGAAAGGCAGCGGCGGCACCGCGUCCGGUCCUCGAGCGUAUGGGGCUUUGUCACCUGCUCUGUAGGCCCGGCCGGCGCCAGCCGACACCCAACUUUAUUUUUCUAAGGUUGACCUCGGAUCAGGUAGGGAUACCCGCUGAACUUAAGCAUAUCAAUAA